CCUACGGGGUGCAGCAGUGAGGAAUAUUGGUCAAUGGCCGGAAGGCUGAACCAGCCAUGCCGCGUGAAGGUCAGUGCCCUAUGGGCGUUAAACUUCUUUUGUGCGGGAGCAAUAAUGGUCACGUGUGGCCAGACGAGAGUACCGUACGAAUAAGCAUCGGCUAACUCCGUGCCAGCAGCCGCGGUAAUACGGGGGAUGCAAGCGUUAUCCGGAUUUAUUGGGUUUAAAGGGUGCGUAGGCUGUGCGGUAAGUCAGCGGUGAAAUGCCCCCGCUCAACGGGGUGAAGUGCCAUUGAUACUGCCUGGCUGGAAUGCGGAUGCCGUGGGAGGAAUGUGUGGUGUAGCGGUGAAAUGCAUAGAUAUCACACAGAACACCGAUUGCGAAGGCAUCUCACGAAGCCGCGAUUGACGCUGAUGCACGAAAGCGUGGGUAUCAAACAGGAUUAGAUACCCCUGUAGUC
rnacentral:rRNA from 1 species